GUCUCUUUUUAAUAAGAUAGUAAUUGUCGACACCAGUCCACCCUUCCACAGCACCCAUGACAAAGGCUGUCUUUUACAUAAGCUUGAAUUUAUAAACGUUGAUAAAACAACCGUUAAAUAAAACCGAAUGAAAAUGAAUUGGUUCUUCAGGAAAACAUGGCUAACAUGAGAGGCUUUCCUGUGUGUUACCUGGUCGAGAGCUAUUUGACAGCGCUUACAAACGAGGAAUUAAGCAGUAAAAGUGCAGGAGAACAACAGUGAUUCCUCCUCUGAAGGUCAGCAAGUGGCGACCCUGUUUACUAAGCCUUCGUACCCACCGAGGGUCCUCGAUCACGACUUCAACUCCAACCCCCGUCAGUCUGCCAGCAGGAGCAGAGGGCAGCUGCACCAACACUUGCAUCAGACGACCCCUGCUAAAAGAUUUAAGCCUCGUCACAGGGACCCUCGUGAUGGAGGGGGAAGCGAAUGUGCAGCUGACUAAAGGGCACAGACGCAGAGACAGAUGCUGCUGCUGCUGCUGCUCACAGACUGUACAGCUGCUGAGACUGCUCUGCCAGGAGCAUCAUACCACCCCACCCCACAAACACACACUCUCCUAUUGGCUGUGAUGCUGAUUUCUUACCCUACAAAUGCUUUUAAUUUGUUUUAAAUACAUGUUUGCUGUAAGCUACUCAUUGAACAUUAAA